CACCGGCAGCCCAAGUGGUGGCCAUUUUUAUUGGGCCUAAAGCGUUCGUAGCCGGCCUGAUAAGUCUCUGGUGAAAUCCCACAGCUUAACUGUGGGAAUUGCUGGAGAUACUAUCAGGCUUGAGGUCGGGAGAGGUUAGAGGUACUCCCAGGGUAGGGGUGAAUCCUAUAAUCCUGGGAGGACCACCUGUGGCGAAGGCGACUUGCUGGGCAGCAACUGACGCUGAGGCGCGAAAGCCAGGGGAGCAAACGGGAUUAGAUACCCCGGUAGUCCUGGCCGUAAACGGUGUGGACUUGGUGUUGGGAUGGCCUCGAGCUGCCCCAGUGCCGAAGGGAAGCUGUUAAGUCCACCGCCUGGGAAGUACGGUCGCAAGACUGAA
rnacentral:rRNA from 1 species